ACCGUAUCUAGCUCGACGGGGCGAAAAGUGGGGAAACCUUACCUAUCUGAUACGGUAUUCUUUAAGGC
rnacentral:sRNA from 1 species